GUGAACGCUGGCGGUAGGCCUCACACCUGCAAGUCGAACGGCAGCACAGUAAGAGCUUGCUCUUACGGGUGGCGAGUGGCGGACGGGUGAGGAAUACAUCGGAAUCUACUUUUUCGUGGGGGAUAACGUAGGGAAACUUACGCUAAUACCGCAUACGGCCUACGGGUGAAAGCAGGGGAUCUUCGGACCUUGCGCGAUUGAAUGAGCCGAUGUCGGAUUAGCUAGUUGGCGGGGUAAAGGCCCACCAAGGCGACGAUCCGUAGCUGGUCUGAGAGGAUGAUCAGCCACACUGGAACUGAGACACGGUCCAGACUCCUACGGGAGGCAGCAGUGGGGAAUAUUGGACAAUGGGCGCAAGCCUGAUCCAGCCAUACCGCGUGGGUGAAGAAGGCCUUCGGGUUGUAAAGCCCUUUUGUUGGGAAAGAAAAGCAGCAGGUUAAUACCCCGCUGUUCUGACGGUACCCAAAGAAUAAGCACCGGCUAACUUCGUG
rnacentral:rRNA from 1 species